ensembl:lncRNA
GUGGAUCAAACUAAAGAGUAACAGACAGACAUCUGGAGGCUCGAACGGAAAUUAAAGACUUCAUGCUCACACCUCAAGAAACAAGAAUCUAGUUAAAUACUGAGCUCUGUGGUAGUGAAGCACUCUCUUGAAGUUCUUACAUCGUCGUCUUCCUUGAGAAGGAACGAGUCUCCGGUGGUUAUUAAAGCCUACGAUGAAAAGGGAAGAAGACCUUGGAGACAUUUCUACUGAGGAAUGAUAUAAUCUCUGCUGAUUUACUCUGCUGGUAUUUACAAAGCCCUCCUCUCAGGAUAAGAACAUUCAUCCCCACGCCUCCCUUGUAGUGGUGCUGAUCAUCUGUAGGUGAUCGAUGUGAUCAACAAGUUAUUGAUCAGCGUUGACGGCAUCACAGGCGGUGAGCAGAGGUUUAUGAUACAGGAUAUUUCACUGUGGAUAUCCUAACCUUUGGUCGUGGCACCACCCUGGUUGUUACAGGACGGGGAGCAGCUGGAGCCCAGAGGACCGACAUACCCUGCCAGCAUCCUGGUUAUUGAUCAGGGAGAAACCCUCAUGGAUCCAUACAUCUGUAGUGUUCAGCAUGAGAGCGGUCUGCAGGAGGUGGAGUUCCCAGAUAUGACCUUGACGUCAGAAGGCCACGGGAUGACAGAAAUGACCUUGACUUCAGAAGGCCCCGGAAAGACAGAUGUUACCUUAGCGACGGCAGUUACUACGGACCCCCCGUCGUCCCGGGAGACCCAGAGAAGGUCCUUCAGAUGAAACACACCGUAAGAUCAGCUGCUCUCACUCUGAACUGCUGUAGGAACCUCAAGUGGCCUCUGGAUUAGCAGUGCGGUAUUUCAUCUAGAAUACAUUAUGUAUACACCAUGGAGUGUAAACCAGUACAAACUAUUAUAAACCAUUACAACCAGUGUAAAACAGUAUGGAGUGUACAAGCCAUUAUAAACCAGUAUAAACCAGUAUGGCACGUAGAAACAAGUGUAGACCUCUAUGGUGCGUUUAAACCCGUAAAAAUAGUUUUUUAAGCUGCAAAAACUAGUAUAGACCACAAUGGUGGGUACAUAUAACUAUAGGCCAGUAUAAACCAUUACAGUGCAUAUUAACCAGUGUAGCGUCACCAGUAUAGACCACAAUGGUGGGUACAUAUAACUAUAGACCAGUAUAAACCAUUGCGGUGUAUAUUAACCAGUAUAGUGUCACCAGUAUAGACCACUAUGAUGCAUAUGGACCAGUAUAAACCAGCAUAGGCCUCUAUGGUGCAUAUGGACCAGUAUAAACCAGUAUGGGCUGUGUGUUGGUGGGGUCCCAGAGUCCCUCCAGGUGCUGUCCAGAGCCAGGCUGGCGUCUGUGCUCUACACAGUGAUGGUGGUGAAGAGUGUGCUCUGCUGCUGUGGCCUGGCUCUCCUGCUCCUCCACACCAACAAGACCAGCAGGACGCCCAGAACCAGCACCACCACAGCCCUGGACUGACGCUGCUGUCCCCCAGAACCAGCACCACCACAGCCCUGGACUGACGCUGCUGUCCCCCAGAACCAGCACCACCACAGCCCUGGACUGACGCUGCUGUCCCCCAGAACCACCUUGUACAACCAUAUGAGGUCAUCAUGUCACCAUGUCAUCAUGUCACCAUGUCACCAUGUCACCAUGUCACCUUGUCACCAUGUCAUCAUGUCACCAUGUCAUCAGAUCAUCAUGUCAUAAUGUAAUGUUGUUAUUCAUUUCUAGUCUCCACUUUCUUCUGCUCUUUUCCCUCCACUGUUCGGACCAGAAAACUGCAUGAGCUUUUCACGGUUUUCUGUUUCCUGUUUCUAAUGCCGCUUUUCCACCGCACAUGUAGCUCGACUCGACACGACUCGACACGACACGACACGGUAGCAGCACGGGUCCUUUUCCACCGCAAAUAGUACCUCCUGGACGUGGGCGGGGUCGGCUGCGCGAAAGGGUCGUGACGUAUUUUUGUACGCGACGCAAACAACACCUACGCAACCCACAUAGCAACAAUGGAGGACAUCGAUGCGAUGGUAUUCGUGUUCGUAUUAUUAGCUGGCAUGUUGAAGAAGUGGAAGAAGUGGAAUAUGUUGGCUGCGGCGCUGCUAUGGCUGUUACCAGCAUGGUUGCCAUGUCGCUCUCGUGACUUCGUCACACUCUGGCCAAUCAGUGGCCGGCCGUCUGCCGACGUCACCUUUUAGCAUCGGCUCAGCUCGCUUGGAACCUAGAGCGAGGCGGUACUAGAAAAAGCAGCCACUUCAGGUACCAGAUACCAUGUUUCGCGGGUGGAAACGCAAAAAUGCGAGCUGAGUCGAGUCGUGUCGAGCUGGUACCAUGCAGUGGAAAAGCGGCAUAAGUGUGUACUGUCACCCAUGUAACAUCUAACACACUCCCUUCAUUUUAACAGGCCCUCAAAACCCACCUUUUCAUGAUCCCUUUCAACACAUAACCUCCUUCCCUUCUCCACCCUCCCUCCUUUUAACUAUUCCUCUCUUUUCUACCUUUUUCAUUUUUUUAGAUACCUAUUUUCCUCCUAUUUUAUCUUUUUACUUAUAUACGUUAUUAUUAAAUGUUUUUUUCUGUUUACUCUGUUAAGCGACUUUGAGUAUUUAGAAAAGCGCAAUAUGAGCUGAAUCUGAAUGUAUUAUUAUUAUUAUUAUUAUUAUCAUGUAAGAACAUUCUCUUAAAAUAAUAAAACUCUCAAAUGUAACAUUAGCUGGUUGUCUAUUAAUGGAGUUGUAUUCAUAAGGUGAAUUAUGUUAUUAUAUAGAAGCGUAUUUUCUUAAUCUUUGAGUCAGUCUGGAUGGCUCAUGGCCCUCUGUUGGAACAUGUGUGGUUGAACAGGUUGAAGGAACAUUAUACGUAGAACUGUA